rnacentral:lncRNA from 1 species
UUAAGAUGUACUGAAAACAAAAAGGACAAAUAACACAUGAUAUUUUUUUGGGAUGAGCGUGAAUGCUGGUGCAGCCUUGGCGGUCGUUGUUGACUAGACCGCAAAUACGAUACCUUGCGCGCCUGUCAAUCGUACAGUAUGAUACCGAUGGACACCAUCAUACGUUAGCUUGGGAAAGUAAUUUUCUUGAGUCUGGCUUCUUCCUCAAUGUAGUGCAUUUUUUACUAUCUCUUUCUUCGAGUCAACUUCCUCUUUUUUGUCUUAUUCCGAUCUGAAGUGGGCUCGUGGCGGCUUGGACGGCGAUCGAAGCAGCAACAAGAAGCGGAGUGGGGCGAGGCAAGAGCGCGGUUGGUGGGAGAGGCUAGUCAUGACGGUCGAGGGCGCAAGGAAAUCCAUGGGAGAGGCGACAGCGGCGAGGCGUAUGGCCGCAGCAUGCGCGGCGGGCUAGGCUCCCAGAAGUGGCAGGGCGGGCAAGGUCGUGGCGGCGCGCUGAUGCAGGAGGCGGAGCGAGGCGCACGGUGGCAGGCACGGCAUGCCGGGCGAAGCGAGGCCGCGGAGGCUCGGACGCGAGGCAACGGAGGCCGGCGGCGCGGCGGCUUAAGGCAAGGCGGCAGAUGCGGGGCGAAGCAAGGUCGCCGUGGCUCAUAAGCGAGGCCGACGGAGCGGCGGUUCAAGGCGAGGCGGCGGAUGCGAGGAGCACCACUCGAUGUUGAGGCCAAUGACAAGGGAGCCUAGCCACUCGCCAACCACGUCGCCGAGGGAGGUCAGGAUGGCGCGGAUGUGGUCCUGGUCGAACAUCACGCUGUACUGGUCUUUGUAAGAGUCAGUCACCAUGGAAGUUGCCAUCUCGUGACUCUCAACCCCAUUUUCCAAGUAGGAACUCCUUUGUAUAGAUCAGAAAUCUAGGAUAGAUAUAUCACGCUAAUUCAAGAUUUAGUGUCGGUGACAGAAUGUGUGUUCGUGGUCGUGGUCGGUUCUAUUAUAGAAUGAAUGCAAAUGGACAAAUAAAGAGUCCAAAUGAUCCACUAGUUCCAUUGCAAUGUGGGAGACCCACUUAUUUACAAGUUGAAGGAGUGUGUUGGGGAGACACCUUUUUCCCAACAUACACCUCCUGGGAGGCAUCCCUCCCAUACAAUUGAUCACAUGUUUUAUUUCUCAACACUCUCCCUUGAUCAAUUCGUCAUCUGUAUAUUGCAAACUGAAAACUCCUCCAAAAAUCCUGUGGGAAAAAUUAAGGAGAAACCUUACCAUAAUAUGCCAUCAAAAACUCCUUUAAAACCCUGUGGGAAAAAUAUAAGGAGAAACCAAUAUGGCAUACAUCCGCACAUGUAUUUAUAUUGUCCCGUUAAAAACCUUAUAUGAGAAACCAACAUGGAAAACUCAUAAAGGGCAAAAGAGUACAAUAUGAAUAAUCUGAAGAUCACCAAUAGGUUAAGCUUGGGAUUUUACUCCCCUUGAUCCUGGCAAACAUCAAUGUUGUCUCAUACCAAUUCCAUUAACUAGAUUCUGGAAUAUAAACGUUGGUACAGACAUUGUGAAUAUCACAAUAAUUUGUUUGCAUAUUAUACUAUUGCAUUUCUGUAAUUUGUGAGGAUAAAUAUAACCCAUAAGCAAUACAAGUGACAUUACCUUGUUAGAUAAUGAUAAUUGAUUCCAAUGAAUCUUCACAUGAUCUCACAUGUGACUAGUCAUUCUGCGAAGACAUGCAUAUCCUGUCAGGCUUCAAAAUAUUUAUGGUAGAAUGAUCACAGAAAUGACCCAUUUAGAGUCUAUUCUGAAGGCUUCCCAUAGAAAAAUCUUCCAGUAAAUCCAGUCUUUGAUAUGGCAUUGUUGGGAUCAGAUUAUCAGCCACUAUCAGGAUAUCACACCAUGGUCCCAUCUUGAUUUCCUCAAUGGAAUCUAUCAAGACCUUUUGUGUCUUGUACAUAUCCGAGGAUAUUCCUUACACCAACCAUUAUACCUUUUAUUGGGGAUGCACUCUCUAUAAAUUUCCAACAAAUAUAUUGUGAGGACUGACUUACUUUGCAAUUUAUAUGAGUGCUCCAAUGAUACUCUGAUACGGAACUUGAUGUCCAUUAUCACUUUACCAUCUCCCCUAGGUUUGAAUGGGCUUGUGUCCCAUGCCAGGUAUAAUAUGACCAUAUGUGUCUUCGGUAAGAUAUAUCCAUAUUGAACUUUUUCAAUAUUUCUAGAUAUAUGACGACUGACAUACAUUUAUUCCCAAGGGAAUGUGCUCAAGCUAUAAACUUAGCACCAUUUGAUUUGAUCCAAAUAUCCCUCUCAAAAUGAUUGUGUGUAUCUAAUGUGUCAUGUAUAGACAUUGAUAAUAAGACCAUCCACAUCAAUAACAUGAUGUAAAUCCAAUUAAGGAUAUCUUCAUGAAUACACAUCAACAAUCAUUAGUGUCAGAGGAGUCUUUAUCAAGGAGUAACUCACUUAGUCGGUUGUACCACACGACUCUCCGACAUCUUCAGAGUUAUAGGAUGACUUCUGAAGCUUCACACACGUUGCUACUUAUCAUUGGAUUCGCAAUAUUAAGCCAUUUCAUGACUUUAAUAUAUAUAUCCAAACUGAAUGACCCAUGUGAGUAUGUAGCAAUUACAUAUAUCAACUGUAUGGAUUUGUACUGCCAAUUCAGUAUCGAAACAUAAUUCCACUCAUACCGAGAAGGUAUGCUACAUCAUAACUGAUCUCGGGUCUCUGCGGAAACCCAUGUGCUACAAGCCUCGCUGUCUCACCACCUCAUCUAUUUUGUUUCUGAACGAAAAAUCACUUCUCUUCACUACGGAAGAUACUUAUGAGGAGCAGGUUUUACUAUGGUAAACACCUCUCUUUUGAUGAGCGAGUGCUACUCUUUUUAAUUGCUUCCUUUCAUUUGAACCAAUAUAAGUGCCAACGACACUCGCCAUGGAUUUUGGUUCAGGGCCCAAAAGGAUUUCAACAAUUAUCAAGAAGAAUUUUAGGUCAACACAUGUAGACUUCAAUAUACGAUUCUCAUGAAUCAAUAUCAUUAGUGGAAUUCUCAUUAUGCCUCUUAACUCGUUUUGAUUUCCCACAACAACGGAGUCAAGGUGUUUCGAUUUCCCAACACCAAAAAUAUGUGUGCACAUCGGUGCUGUGCUAUGGAUGACGCACAUCCACCAGGUGUCAUUCGACCCAAGGUUGAAUCACAUUUACUAAUUGAGGAGAACAUUUCCUCUAAUUCUACGGAAACAUAUGAGAACUUAAUCCCAUGUUACUAGUAUUCUCCCCCUCUUGCUCUCAUCUGGGGAUACAAGUGGUUAUUAGGUACCUCCACUCGUUCUGGUACGAAAAUUCAGUGACACCUUUGUCAUGAGUAAAUGUAUAUGGCAGAUUAUUUGCAAUAUGUUGCAAAUUCUCAUAAUCUGAAUCUCUAGUUCAGAUUCUUAAAUACAUGGACAAAAUGUCUAGGACAUUUCUUUUGCAUUUUCCUGGCAUUCUAUGCGAUAUAUUUCUCCCCCUAAUGCCAGAAAAUGUCCUUAUUGCAGAAAGAAUCAACAUACAAGCUGCAAAUAACUCCCUCACUAGGGUUAAGGUAUUUGACGGAUUAACGAUCAUACCACAGUUAUUCCUCACAUAGAUCCCAAAUAUAUAUGAAGGCCAUAAUGUACGCUUGGGUGGUGAUAUCGGUGUGCAACCGAGUUAUCACAGAUGGGAAAUACUUCAAUGAUUUCCACGUACGGACUGUGAGGGGAUACAAUAUUAAAUGCAUUUGAUCUCAUUUAGACCAAAUAUGCGGCAUGUGAGACCACAUGUUACCAACAACAAAAUGUUGGAUCAUCAUAGUUGUGUAGUAAUGGCCAUGCAACUUGACUCCUUUUGACAAGAGAUCUAGCCACACCAUUGUGGGUAGGUACACGACGUGCUGAAUAUGACCAUGAAUUUCUCGUGAAUCAAAUUCAAGGAUAUUUCCAUUCCUAUGGAAUUAUCCCAUGCAUAUAAUCAUUUGCUCCAAAUUCGUCAAAUUGAGCACUUAAUUCAGUAAACACAUGGUUUUGUGUGGAUGAUACACACCUAAGACCAUUUUCUAGAUGUGUCUAUGAAUACCAUGAAGUACCAAAUUAACCCAUGCAAUGGUUGAAUAUUUUGCUUCAUUCUUGAAUCCGUUCAAGAAUAAUGAGUGGUGCAUUCAAAUUUUAAGGUGAGAGUGCCUUAAAAUUAAUUCCACUAUGGCACAUGUAGUGCACAUAAAAUCUUUUGAUUGUCGGGAAUAUUGCAACUUUGUUGUGGACAAUAGAAUUAUCAAUAAUUUUGUCUAAUCGUCCUCAUACCAGACAUGUAAAGGAGGAAAAAAUUAUUGUAUGCGCAACAAUAUUGUGUAUGAAUGAUUCAUGCACUCAGUUCCUCACAACUAUCAUGUCCCGUGGACAAGAUGUUGCAAAUUAUACCACCUGUAGUAGUACAAUUAUAGGCUAAUUAUAUCUUGGGAUAACUAGGAGACUACAUAAGAUCUCCAAAAUAUCUUGGGAAUUUCAUUCCACAAGUAUAUCAUCAAUGUAGAGGAGUGCAUUCUCCUUCUACCAUGCCAGAAUAUUUUCUGGUUGUCCAUUUGAAGUAGAACUUCAAACUUAUCCCAUUUAACUCAUUCGCCUUCUCCAAUGAGUCGGUGACAUGAUUCAACCCAAAGCUUCAUAGUUUGGUAAUCAUUAGUAUGAUAUUCCGUACAACCACCCAUUUGACAAACUUGGGAGUUGUCAUUGUGAUCAUUUAUUUAAAUGACCCAUUCUUUUGUGAGAUAUUCACUCCAUUUAUGCUUGUCUCUUUUUUACACUUUACUUACAACUCCUCGUGGUUCCCUAACCACAAAAUUGCUUAGUACUAUAAGCACUAGCACAAAUUUCAGGUAAUGGUAUAACACCCGUUCGGGUGUACCAGAUGAAUCUUCACAAGAAUUUUAUCAUAUUUUUACCCUGAAAGGAAGAUGAUAUUUCUUUUACCAUCAUAGGAGAAUGUAAAGUGUCGUAGGGACAUACAAUCAGAUCAAGAUCUGAGACUUCCUUAUCACAUAACCUCAACUUAGUGUUGGUAUAUAGACAACAGAAUUAUAAGCAUCAAUGGACUUGAAGUCCUUAAUACAAAUGAAUACUCAUUCGAGUGAUGCUUAUGAGAACAUGUCUCUCCUUAAGGUGGUACCAAAGGGAAAAUGAAUAUUCAUCAUCCAUUAAAUACACGGUUUGAGAACCAAGACAUUGCGAUGUCACAUAAAUGAAAAUUUGCAUAUUUCAGGCAUUUAUAAAAUAGCCAUGACAUUCUCUGAAGGUGGAAUUUCUAUGGCGACAAGGCCACGGGUUGACAAAAUCAUUAAUGUCAAUGACCCAUUUUCAAUAGUUACUUCCACCUUAUGUCACCACAUCGCAUUUCCUUCCGAAAAAGGUCAGCCAUAUAUUGCCUGAAAUGCUCAUGCAUUAAUUUACCUUUAGUAAAUUAAGUACAAUGAAAAUGCUAUGGCUAAGCAUAAUCACUAUCAUGGUGAUUCUUAGUGACUCAUAGGGUAAGCCUUCCACAUGAAGAUAAUCACCAUUAUGUGGUGUAGAUCUUCAAAUUAAAUGUAGUCAUCUCAUAAAGGAUAAACAUUUAAUUUCCAUAAAACACAUAGAGGUAAUCAACCACCUAGUAGUGCCUCACUCUUAUGGAUAGUUGCAAUCAAUCAUAGCCUUCACAACCUUAUGUUAUUUAAAACACAUGAAGGUAAUUACCACGAAGUGGCAUAAACCUCUCAGUUGUGCAUGAAAUUUAACUCAUUGCUACGACUACAUCUCAUAAGUUGUGUACUCAUGGAAGGUGUUCACCAAAAUAUGCAAGUAUUUUGCAUAAUUAUCUUCAUAGCAUACUAUGUAGCAUAGUCGCCACUAAUUCCUUGGAUUCCUCUCCUGAUGGAGCAUGUGACACUGUAGUCACAACCAAUGACAAAUGCUAUGAAAUUGAUAAGUAUUUGGAAAAACAUCAUGAAGGUAGGCACAAACGUUGUAGGCCUCAUAAUGAUUAUGUCAUAAGUUUUUUGGCUUCACUUUGCUUUGAACACAUGGAAAUAAUCACUACUGAGUAGUGUAGACCUCAUUCUUAUGGAGCUUCUCACAAUAUUAUGUUUUAAAACACAUUGACGGUAAUCACCACGUGGUGGUGUAGACCUCACAGUUGUGAACAAAAUAUAAUUCGUUGCCACAAAAACAAUCCAUAAGUUGUGUGCAAAAUUGAAGGUAGUCAUUAUGUCGAAACGACAUAAUAUAGACCUUACAAUAACAUUGAGUAAUAUGCAUUUAAGCAGCAUGUCUCGUUUGUCAAUUUCUUGUGACAAAUGUCAAUUUGACAUAGUCAGGUAGUGUCAUACACUUCACUACCUCAUGUUUCCAAAUUUGCAAUUAAAUUCCAUAUUCUAUGUGAAUAAUGGAAUCAACAUAUUGGUUUGAAAUAGUAUUACUCAUGUAAUAAAUAAAUGCAGAAGUAUGAAAUAUACUUGUGUAACAUAUAUGAGGACUUGUGGCCUCAAACGUUUAUUUUACAUGAUGUAAAAUGAUGCAUAAACAAUUAUUAUGCAAUUUAGCAAGACCCAAGGAUCUAUAAUAUGUAUUUGCUCUGAAGCCUUACGCAUAAAACGCAAAUAACAAUAACCUUAUAGUAAAAUUGAUGAAAACAGCAAGUCUGGUGGCAAAUGUAAAGUCCAAUAAGACUGAUGACUUUAUCAUAAAUUUUUCAUAAGUCCAAAGACUAAACUAUAAGAUCUGAAAGACAUGAGCCUGAUUCAGAAAUUCCAAAAACUUAUGACGAGUUACCAUAGAACUCGAGGGUUGAUUUUGAAAAUCAUGGAAUAAAUAAGAUUUUGCCUUGCUUUCCCGUCGGUUCCAUCCCAGGAAAGAUUUUUUAACUCCUACCGGCUGACGUACAAAUCCAUGCUAGAGGAAGUUGUUGGGAAUGCAGAUCCUUACCGGCCGUAGCGAACGCCACCAGUAUACGAAGGGUGGUUGUCUCGGUCGCUGCCAGGCCGAGAGACGACGAGGCCGGCAUCAUGUCGCACACAAGCAGGAAUGGUCGUGUGCGCUGUAGCGUUCCUCGCCGGGAGCCACGGACGCGCAGCCGCUGUCAAUCAUGGCGUGAUCCACCACCGGUCAAGGUGUCUCCGUAUUGGCGUACUCAAUACGGACAAGUAGUACAUGCAUAAAAUGAAUAAGAAGAUACAUGAUUAGAUCUUUCGUGAUAAUCACAAAUGACAAACAAGUUGAUUCAUGUAUGGGCGUUGUUGCCGCACUGGCCUUCGCCAUCAGUUUCAGAAAAUUAGCCGCUAGAGACGUGCAGCCAUGCUUGCCGCCUGCCUCUUUGUGGCUGAUUCAGUGAAUCAAUUCUAGCAUAAGGCAGAAUGGAUGAGAUUCCUUUUAAUCACAAAACGACAAAACGACAAAUGGAAUUAACAUUCUUAUGAUUCUUUUCCUGUACGAAUGCAUGCAUGGACCAUGGCGUUGCCGUUGCAUGUCGCCACACUGUUGAUAUGUUGCUGCUGCUACUCAGCGCCCCGCAGGGAUGGCGACGUGGUUGGGCGCCUCGGGGCACCGCUGUGUGCGGAAUUGGCAACGAUGCAUUGUGCGCCUGUGAGAUGGAGGGCCUCGUCACUCAGCGGCCGAUGACCGUCUCCUUCGCCUUUCUGUGUCGCCUAAUCACUCUCGUAGAGAAAAGUGCUGAUAACGUAUUGUAGAAUGAAUGCAAAG